rnacentral:siRNA from 1 species
CGCAAAGUGCCCAUUGCUUCUC